GCAAAAUUUCACCAAACAUCGGUGCUGUGUGUCCAUGAGAAAUGCCACUGGCUUGAAAUAUGGACAAAAUCCACCCAUUUCCAGGACAGAGGGCCGCAUCUUUCCUCUGGGAUCUUGACUGGCAGCUGCACUAACAGCCCAUGACACAGGAAAGGAUGGGUGGAGUUCACUGAAGUCUUUCCUGUACUUAGGAAACGGACGGUUGAUUUAGUGCACAGAGAUGAUGACCGAUAAGAGCUGGGCAGAGAAGACUCGUAAAAUAUUACUCCCAUCACAGACUGGCUUUGACGUUUGCUUAAACGCUGCUCACCCUGAAAUGUACACCAGUCUCACGUGCACUUGUACUGCU